GUCUCAUUCAAACUCUGCAGCGGAGGGAGUUGCCAUGGAAACGGUGCGGUGUAACUGACAAACAGUAAAUCUCCGUUUCUCGCUGCUGUUUUCACUGCUUUCAGAAAUGUUUUACAGUCUUCGAAAAAGUCCGCUAGCAUCUGUUUUCAGACGAGGAAGAGAAGCUCCAAGAUUUCAAAAUUUCUGAAGGGAGCUGCUGACAGAAAUGCAGAAAACACAGAUUACGAUGGCCGUGCAGCAGAGGAGCGGAGGAGAGGAGGAGUCUCCUGUCGGACAACAUCGCUAUGAACCAUGUGACUACAUCAUUACUCCAGUCUUCAGUGUCACAUGAUCCUUCAGAAAUCAUUCCAAGAUGCUGACAUUUGUGGAUCCUAUGUACCCAGCCUCAACCAUUCAUCAGAAGGACUGUGAAAGCGGGAACUCUGAACCACCAGUGGCAGUUUCCACAGGAUGAAAAAGGGCAUAGUAGUGGAUGAUGAGGUCCUGAGACCGUAUGGGGUGAGGAUCAAGACAACCAAACCAAAGGUGGACUGUAACCUACUGGACUAUAUGAUAGACUUCAUACUGACAACUAUGCCAUGUAUGCAGCAUGACAAGUUUUUGAAAAGAGGGGCAUUUCCUUCACCAAGUAAAAGUGUGGAGGAUUCAUCUGGCCUUCAUCGGCCCCCAUGAGGUGACUCGAUGUAGAAUAAAUCAACUUGCUUUAGGCUUGAAAUGACUGAAAUCUUCUAAUGUGAGUUGAUAUCAUUUUAAACAUUCUUAAAAGUACUUCUCAUUUCUUGUGAAUGUAUUUUGUAGUAUGUGUAAAACUUUUCUAAUGAAAGAACCUUUUUUACCUUCAUUGAUAUUGUAAUCAAGGUUAUUAAAGCUAUGGACUGCACACAUCUGCCUGUGUUGGGCUUGUGUUCACAGGUUGUAUAAAACUAGGCCUGGCUGCAACAACUAAUCGAUAAUGAAAAUAAUCAUCAACGAAUUUGAAUAGUGCAUCAAAACAAACAGACCGCUCAUAAUUCUGACUAAAAUACACAUUUUGCUAAAAUAUUUUUUGUUAGAAAUUAAGUGUUUAAAA